rnacentral:misc_RNA from 1 species
UCAAAGUAUCAAGCUUGGCUUGUCGUUGGGCCCUUUGUCACCUGGUGACAGAUCCAUAAGAUAAUGACCGGUGUCAUAAAGACUCUUUAUGCAACGAGCUUAUAACAGCACGCAUCUAGUAGUUAUAUGGCCCGGUUGUCACCCCUUUAUUUAUCAA